UGGCAAAGUGAGGGAGGGAAGAGGUGACUAGUGACAGAGUGAGGGGAUGACUGGUGACAGAGUGAGGGAGGGGGUGACUGUCACUAGUCACCCCAUCCCUCUCUCUGUCACUAGUCACUCCCUCCCUAACUCUGUCACUGUGUCACCCGCUCCCUCACUCUGUCACUAGUCACCCCCUCACUCACUCUGUCACUAAUCACCCCCUCUGUGCCUAGUCACCCCCUUCCUCACUCUGUCA